rnacentral:rRNA from 1 species
UAGGGAAUCUUCGGCAAUGGACGAAAGUCUGACCGAGCAACGCCGCGUGAGUGAAGAAGGUUUUCGGAUCGUAAAACUCUGUUGUUAGAGAAGAACAAGGACGUUAGUAACUGAACGUCCCCUGACGGUAUCUAACUAGAAAGCUACGGCUAACUACGUGCCAGCAGCCGCGGUAAUACGUAGGUGGCAAGUGUUGUUCGGAUUUAUUGUGCGUAAAGCGAGCGCAGGCGGUUUCUUAAGUCUGAUGUGAAAGCCCCCGGCUCAACCGGGGAGGGUCAUUGGAAACUGAGAGACUUGAGUGCAGAAGAGGAGAGUGGAAUUCCAUGUGUAGCGGUGAAAUGCGUAGAUAUAUGGAGGAACACCAGUGGCGAAGGCGGCUCUCUGGUCUGUAACUGACGAUGAGGCUCGAAAGCGUGGGGAGCAAACAGG